GUAAAGGUAGGCUGAUAAUAGGUGGUGGAUUGUAAUUCCAUUUAUGAGGUGUGAGUCCUCUCUUUGCA
rnacentral:tRNA from 1 species